rnacentral:rRNA from 1 species
AUUGAACGCUGGCGGCAUGCUUUACACAUGCAAGUCGAACGGUAACAGGUUAAGCUGACGAGUGGCGAACGGGUGAGUAAUGCAUCGGAACGUGCCCGGUCGUGGGGGAUAACGCAGCGAAAGCUGCGCUAAUACCGCAUACGAUCUGAGGAUGAAAGCGGGGGACCGUAAGGCCUCGCGCGAUCGGAGCGGCCGAUGUCAGAUUAGGUAGUUGGUGGGGUAAAGGCUCACCAAGCCAACGAUCUGUAGCUGGUCUGAGAGGACGACCAGCCACACUGGGACUGAGACCAGGCGCAGACUCCUACGGGAGGCAGCAGUGGGGAAUUUUGGAUAAUGGGCGAAAGCCUGAUCCAGCAAUGCCGCGUGCAGGAAGAAGGCCUUCGGGUUGUAAACUGCUUUUGUACGGAGCGAAAAGGUCUCCUCUAAUACAGGGGGCUCAUGACGGUACCGUAAGAAUAAGCACCGGCUAACUACGUGCCAGCCGCCGCAGUAA